rnacentral:rRNA from 1 species
AUUCCAGCUCCAAUAGCGUAUAUUAAAGUUGUUGCGGUUAAAAAGCUCGUAGUUGGAUUUCUGUCAAAGGUAAGGCGGUCCAUCUUAUGGAUGUGCAUCUGCCUAUGCCUUGGCAUCCUCAUGAAGAACGUUUUCGCGCUUCACUGCGUGUUUACGGUAUUCAUGACUUUUACUUUGGGGAAAUUAGAGUGCUCACGGCAGGCAAUCGCUUUGGAUACAUUAGCAUGGAAUAAUACUAUAGGACCUCGGUUCUAUUUUGUUGGUUUCUAGAGCUGAGGUAAUGAUUAAUAGGGAUAAUUGGGGGUCUUUGUAUCGCAACGUCAGAGGUGAAAUUCUUGGAUUGUUGCACGACAAACUACUGCGAAAGCAUUGACCAAGGAUGUUUUCAUCA